GACGAACGCUGGCGGCGUGCCUAAUACAUGCAAGUCGAGCGAAUCAAUAGGAGCUUGCUCCUGUUGGUUAGCGGCGGACGGGUGAGUAACACGUGGGCAACCUGCCUGUAAGACUGGGAUAACACCGGGAAACCGGUGCUAAUACCGGAUAAUCCUUUUCCUCUCAUGAGGAAAAGUUGAAAGUCGGUUUCGGCUGACACUUACAGAUGGGCCCGCGGCGCAUUAGCUAGUUGGUGAGGUAACGGCUCACCAAGGCGACGAUGCGUAGCCGACCUGAGAGGGUGAUCGCCCACACUGGGCCUGGGACACGGCGCAGACUCCUACGGGAGGCAGCAGUAGGGAAUCUUCCGCAAUGGACGAGAGUCUGAGGGAGCAACGCCGCGUGAGCGAUGAAGGCCUUCGGGUCGUAAAGCUCUGUUGUUAGGGAAGAACAAGUAUCGGAGUAACUGCCGGUACCUUGACGGUACCUAACCAGAAAGCCACGGCUAACUACGUGCCAGCAGCCGCCGUAA
rnacentral:rRNA from 1 species